rnacentral:rRNA from 1 species
GACGAACGCUGGCGGCGUGCUUAACACAUGCAAGUCGAACGAAGUGGCGAACGGGUGAGUAACGCGUAAACAACCUGCUCUUCAGCGGGGGACAACAGUUGGAAACGUCUGCUAAUACCGCAUACUGAAGGAGGAGUAUGCGUCUGAUUAGCUAGUUGGGGGGGUAACGGCCCACCAAGGCGAGGAUCAGUAGCCGGUCUUGUAGGAUGAACGGCCACAUUGGGACUGAGACACGGCCCAGACUCCUACGGGAGGCAGCAGUGGGGAAUUUUGGACAAUGGGCGCAAGCCUGAUCCAGCCAUGCCGCGUGUCUGAAGAAGGCCUUCGGGUUGUAAAGGACUUUUGUCAGGGAAGCGGUACCUGAAGAAUAAGCACCGGCUAACUACGUGCCAGCAGCCGCGGUAAUUC